rnacentral:rRNA from 1 species
UACGUAGGGUGCGAGCGUUGUCCGGAAUUAUUGGGCGUAAAGAGCUUGUAGGCGGUCUGUCGCGUCUGCUGUGAAAAUCCGGGGCUCAACCCCGGACUUGCAGUGGGUACGGGCAGACUAGAGUGCGGUAGGGGAGACUGGAAUUCCUGGUGUAGCGGUGAAAUGCGCAGAUAUCAGGAGGAACACCGGUGGCGAAGGCGGGUCUCUGGGCCGAUACUGACGCUGAGGAGCGCAAGCGUGGGGAGCAAACAGG